ACAUUGAAGCAUCAGUUCCUAUACAAUCGCCAAAGUUAAGCAAUGUCGAGCCUGGUCUGUACCUAGAUGGGUGACCACUUGGGAAUACCAGGUGCUGUAAU